CCUACGGGUGGCAGCAGUGAGGAAUAUUGGUCAAUGGACGAGAGUCUGAACCAGCCAAGUAGCGUGAAGGAUGACUGCCCUAUGGGUUGUAAACUUCUUUUAUAUGGGAAUAAAAUGUUCCACGUGUGGGAUUUUGUAUGUACCAUUUGAAUACGGAUCGGCUAACUCCGUGCCAGCAGCCGCGGUAAUACGGAGGAUCCGAGCGUUAUCCGGAUUUAUUGGGUUUAAAGGGAGCGUAGGUGGAUUGUUAAGUCAGUUGUGAAAGUUUGCGGCUCAACCGUAAAAUUGCAGUUGAAACUGGCAGUCUGGAGUACAGUAGAGGUAGGCGGAAUUCGUGGUGUAGCGGUGAAAUGCUUAGAUAUCACGAAGAACUCCGAUGGCGAAGGCAGCUCACUGGACUGCAACUGACACUGAGGCUCGAAAGUGUGGGUAUCAAACAGGAUUAGAUACCCCGGUAGUC
rnacentral:rRNA from 1 species